rnacentral:rRNA from 1 species
CCUACGGGCGGCUGCAGUGGGGAAUAUUGGACAAUGGGGGCAACCCUGAUCCAGCCAUGCCGCGUGUGUGAAGAAGGCCCUCGGGUUGUAAAGCACUUUCAGUGAGGAAGAACGCCUGGUGGUUAAUACCCAUCAGGAAAGACAUCACUCACAGAAGAAGCACCGGCUAACUCCGUGCCAGCAGCCGCGGUAAUACGGAGGGUGCGAGCGUUAAUCGGAAUUACCGGGCGUAAAGCGCGCGUAGGUGGCUUGAUAAGCCGGUUGUGAAAGCCCCGGGCUCAACCUGGGAACGGCAUCCGGAACUGUCAAGCUAGAGUGCAGGAGAGGAAGGUAGAAUUCCCGGUGUAGCGGUGAAAUGCGUAGAGAUCGGGAGGAAUACCAGUGGCGAAGGCGGCCUUCUGGACUGACACUGACACUGAGGUGCGAAAGCGUGGGUAGCAAACAGGAUUAGAUACCCUUGUAGUC